UCAAGACCGAGCAAUAUUUAGUCGGCAUCCUCUGGCCUUUAAAUAGCCUAACUCCGCUCACAAAAUGUCAGUGAUCGUGUCGGAAGUUAGAGGUAACAUCCAUUUUCUUCAAGACUGGACAUAUUGCUGGACGUCAUGACAAACGUUCCGACGCCAAUUGGUUUGGCGAGCCCGGUGGCAGAGAGAGCAACUCUUCCCAAUCGCCAUACAAGCGUUUGUCGAAACUUAUUUGGACCCGUCGACCAUGACGCGCUGAACCGCGAGUUGAAGGCGAAGCUGAGGGAAAUCUCUGAGCAAGACCGGCGUCGAUGGAAUUUCCGCUUCGGGACAGACACACCAAGUCCCGGGAUUUAUGAAUGGGAAGAGAUGUCAGCGGAGUCGAUGCCUACCUUCUACCAGGAGUCGAAAGUAUUUGUUCCCGAGGAUAAGAUCAACGUCUGAGAUGACUAGCCCCCAGCACAGUUCUCAAUUCCCCUUGAACGCCACGCAAAGGGGGAACCGUUCGCUUAACCACGCCGACAAAUGCUACCAUCUGCGGCUUUUGCAGUUAAUAUUUUCCAUCUCGGACAGAAAAAAGAUGGAAUAAGCCAACCUAUGUUUUUGCCAAAGUAACAAUGUAUUUAAAGAAUAAUUCAACUUGUGUUAAUUUAUUACGUGUCUGAGAUUGUUUUAAAUGGUAUCUGUGAAAGACAAACAAUUUAGUGUCCAUUUUGUUUACUUUCUGCUCACUUUAUUGCAUUAGUGAGCCCUCAAAUGAUACUUUAGCCUAAUUUGCUACAUAGGUCAUCUGCCUUUUAUUCAAAUAUUUUCCAUUGGCCAAAAGAUUUAACCCACAUGUUGGCCUAGGUUUUUUUUGCCAAACUAACAAUGUCUUACUGUAUUUAAAUUAUUUUAUUUCAAUUAACUUUUGUUUUAAUUCAAAUAAGUUCUGCGAUUGUUUAAAUGGUAUCUGGGGAAACUAUUAAAACAAUGUAGUUUA